CCUCAGAUUCGAGGCAAGGACAAGCAUUGGAAGGAAAGGAAGAAUCCAAGAAGAUUCGGGAAACAAGCUAAGGAAGCCAGUUUAUGGGUCCCGUGGACUGUCCCAGGGCUCCGAAAGACUUCUGACGAUGGAAGGACCCUUGCGGCCUAGACUAGCUAACUCCAGUGACUUCCAGUUUGGAGCAGUUGCCACAGAGACCAUCGAAAACGCUCUGCUUCACUUGGCCCAGCAGAAUGAGCAAGCAGUGAAGGAGGCCGCGGGACGGAUGGGCAGCUUCAGGGAGACCCGGAUCGUGGAGUUUGUUUUUCUCCUGUCUGAACAAUGGUGUCUGGAGAAAUCUGUGAGCUACCAGGCUGUAGAAAUCCUAGAAAGGUUUAUGGUGAAGCAGGCAGAGAACAUCUGUCGGCAAGCCACAGUCCCGCUGAGAAGUCAUAAGACAGAACUGCCGAAGUGGAGAGCUCUGAAAGAGCAGCUUUUCAACAAGUUCACCCUCCGCUUGGUGUCCUGUGUCCAGCUGGCCAGCAAACUGUCUUUCCACUACAAAAUAAUCAGCAACAUUACAGUCCUGAAUUUCCUCCAGGCUCUUGGUUAUAUAUGCACCAAAGAAGAACUGCUAGAAUCAGAGCUUGAUGUUUUGAAGUCCCUGAACUUCCAGAUAAAUCUGCCCACUCCUCUGGCAUAUGUGGAGAUGCUUCUUGAAGUUCUAGGGUACAAUGGCUGUUUGGUCCCAGCCACACAACUACAUGCAACUUGUCUGACCCUCCUUGACCUGGUCUAUCUUCUGCAUGAGCCCAUAUAUGGGAGCCUGCUGAGGGCUUCAGUUGAGAAUUCUACACCCAGUCAGCUGCAAGGGGAAAAGUUUAUCUCUGUGAAGGAAGACUUCAUGCUGUUGGCAGUUGGAAUCAUUGCAGCAAGCGCUUUCAUCCAAAACCAUGAAUGUUGGAGCCAGCUCCUGGAUCAGCUUCUCCUCCUCUAAGGCCAGCUCUUUCAGCUCCCUCUGCAGCUGUUCACUGUCAUCCUCAUUCAUCUGCUCGAGGAUCUCCAAACAGCGUCUGCCAAGCACACGGGUCUACUGACUAGAGGGCACCUGUUGUUCCACGUGCCUGAGGGAACAGUGCUCUUGAGUCCCAAGGGCCCAGCAGUCUCCCUGGCACAGACCCUGGCCCUGGAGAUAUACAACCCACUGUCCAAACAACGUAUGUUUGUGAACAGAGAGGAAUGGAGACAGCAACUAUAGAGAAUAGAAGAUAUGAACCAAGAAUGCCCUGGAGCAACCCAAAUACACAGGUCAGCCCAUCUCUGGCCUUAGUCAUUUACUUUUAAAAAUUACACUCAUUUAUUUGUGGGUGUGUGCACAUGCUAUAGCACAAAGUAGUCAGCUGUCAUACUGCUGUGUGGGGUCCAGGGUUUGAACUCAGAUUGUAAGGCUCUGAGCCCAGGCUGGCUGGAAACCUACAACAAUCUUUCUGCUUCAGCCUUCCAAGUACCUAGAAUUACAAGAGCCACUAUGCUGGUCUAUAACCACAUUCUUUUAGGCAUUUUAAAAAUAUUUAUUUAUUUAUUGGUGUGUGUAUGUGUGUGCACAAGCGCACACACAAACUCAGGUGGUCAGGAUGGAUGGGUGGCAAGCUCCCGUAACCACUGAACCAUCUUGAUGGCCUUAUACUUUCUUUUUUGUUGUUGUUAUUGUCGUGUGCCCCCCCCCCAAAAAAAAAAAACAGGGUUUCUCUGAAUAGCCCUGGCUGUCCUGGAUCUCGCUCUGGAGACCAGGCUGGCCUUGAACUCAGAGAUCCGCCUGCCUCUGCCUUCUAAGUGCCAGGAUUAAAAGCGUGUGCCAUCA